CCACUGCAAGUAACUGUGAUUUAUACACUGUAUGAGAGCCUCCUCAACACCAGGGAAGAAACCCUGGUUGUCAUAACCAGAGAAAUGGACACAGAAAAACUUCCAACUACAAGGACGUUCAUUUCUAGGAUCUCCUUAUUGAAAGGCAACAAUGCUGCUUAAGGCCAUGAACUGUAGAGGAAAGCCUUAUCAUAAUGAAAUAGUUCAAAAGGACAGAGAAGGAGAGUUAAAGGUGAGAAUAUGGCAGAGAAAAAGAAAGAGGUAGAGGAGGAAGAAGGUAAAAGAAGAUGAGAAGUGUGAAGAAGAAAUAGAAAAGAACAGAGAAAGAAGGAAAAGAGCAAUCAAAAUAAAUAUUCACUUAACAAGGAACUUCUUAUUGAAAUAUAUAGAGAUGACUACAGAAAACCAUAAUCAAUUGAAGUGCAGAAUUGUGGAGCCUAUUCCCAAUGGACACAUCUACAAAACAUUCCUGCAACUAAAACUUAGGAAACAUUAAUGAAGAAGGAACAGGAAAAUGUAAGACUCGAAGAAUUAGAGAAUUUGUUGUAGGGUUGUGUCUUCUAGUAAUGGUAAAACCUAUCCACAUAAAGUCUCAGCAACAUGACUGCCCAAACAUGAGAUGAAGAAGGGCACCACCAAUGAACAUGCUACAGGAAACAGGGAAAAACUCACGAGGCCUCAACUCUACACCACAAACUAUAGGCAACUGGGAACAGGAGAAGUAGUCACCAACAGGGGAGAACACACCAACUGGUUGUACAGUUCCAAAAGGUCAACUCAGAAAACAUGUAUACAAGUCACAUUAUAUGAUUGGGGAAGGUAAUAAGUAAGAAUCAUAAAUGCAUGUAAUGAAUUCAGAGAAGAGUGGGGAGGGGUAUAGGGGAGAUACUGAAAGAGGAUCAGAAGGGAGAAUAAUUCAAACUAUGUCACAAUUUUGAGAC